UGCCGUGUGUCCGGGUUGGUGAGGAAGCAGUCUUGAAAACUGUUGGUCUGAAAGGACUUGCACGUUCGAAUCGUGUGCACGGCGU
rnacentral:tRNA from 1 species